rnacentral:rRNA from 1 species
UAUGUGAUCGUCUCUCGCAUAUCAAUAAGCGGAGGAAAAGAAACUAACAAGGAUUCCCUUAGUAACGGCGAGUGAAGCGGGAAGAGCUCAAAUUUGAAAUCUUCAAGGUUUUACCUUGACGAAUUGUAGUUUAAAGAAGUGUUUUCUGUUGAGGUUUUGGUAAAAGUUCUUUGGAAUAGGACAUCAUAGAGGGUGAGAAUCCCGUAUUUGACCAUUAUUUUCAGCUGUGUGAUACACUUUCAAAGAGUCGGAUUGUUUGGGAAUGCAGUCCAAAAUGGGUGGUAAAUUUCAUCUAAAGCUAAAUAUUGGCGAGAGACCGAUAGCGAACAAGUACCGUGAGGGAAAGAUGAAAAGAACUUUGAAAAGAGAGUUAAACAGUACGUGAAAUUGUCAAAAGGGAAGCGUUUGACACCAGCGUUGUUUUCUCGAAAAUCAAUUAGAAAGAGUUAGAUUUUGUUGUGUAUUGACCUUAACAGCUUGCAUUUCAAUUUUCUUGCUUUUUUUAAUGCACUUUUCGUUUAACAAGUCAACAACAGUUUCUUUUGUUGUAAAAAGGUCAUUGGAAGGUGGCUUUCUUUUCGGAGAAAGUGUUUAUAGCCUUUGACUCCUGCAAUCGGAGAGACUGAGGUCUGCAGCGUAGAUCCUUCGGGGUUAGAUACAUUUGUGCUAAGUUAUAGCUUUUUAUAGACAACUUGUUGACUAUGAUUAGUCUUGUAGCUUACUCGCUUAUGCUAUUUUACCUACGCUUAGGAUGUUGAAGAUGUAGCACAUCAU